rnacentral:hammerhead_ribozyme from 1 species
GGACUGCUGAGGAAUCCCAAGAUAAGAUGAAACGGCCGUCCAGUGC